rnacentral:rRNA from 1 species
UAGACAGAACUGUAGGGACACGUGUGGAGAGCACAGGCGCGGAAUGGAAAGCCGCGCGCAAGCGGGGUAGGAGAUGUGCAGGAAAAUCCGUACAUCAAUCCGAAGACGUGAUGCGGACCGAAAAAGAGAAGGGAAGUGUGUGAGCCAUGCGUCAAGAAAAGCUGCUAUUGUUCUUACUGUACCCGUACCGUAAACCGACACAGGUGGAUGAGGAGAGAAUCCUAAGGCCGGCGGAAGAAGCAUUGUUAAGGAACUCGGCAAAAUGACCCUGUAACUUCGGGAGAAAGGGUGCCCUCGUGAGAGGGCCGCAGAGAAUAGGCUCAAGCAACUGUUUAGCAAAAACACAGGUCUAUGCAAAACCGUAAGGUGAGGUAUAUGGGCUGACGCCUGCCCGGUGCUGGAAGGUUAAGAGGAGAGGUUAGCGAAAGCGAAGCUUUGAAUUUAAGCCCCAGUAAACGGCGGCCGUAACUAUAACGGUCCUAAGGUAGCGAAAUUCCUUGUCGGGUAAGUUCCGACCCGCACGAAAGGCGUAAUGAUUUGAGCACUGUCUCGACAAUGCAUCCGGUGAAAUUGAAGUACCAGUGAAGAUGCUGGUUACCUGCGCCAGGACGGAAAGACCCCAUGGAGCUUUACUCCAGUUUGGUACUGGGAUCCGGUAUUGCAUGUACAGGAUAGGUGGGAGGCUGAGAAACGGUUACGCCAGUAGCCGUGGAGCCAAUGUUGGGAUACCACCCUUGCAGUAUUGGGUUUCUAACCAGCCGCCGUGACCCGGCGGUGGGACAAUGCCAGGCGGGGAGUUUGACUGGGGCGGUCGCCUCCGAAAGGGUAUCGGAGGCGCUCAAAGGUUCCCUCAGAAUGGUUGGAAACCAUUCGAAGAGUGCAAAGGCAGAAGGGAGCUUGACUGCGACACCGACGGGUGGAGCAGGUACGAAAGUAGGACUUAGUGAUCCGGUGGUAUUAAGUGGGAAUGCCAUCGCUCAACGGAUAAAAGCUACCCUGGGAUAACAGGCUUAUCACUCCCAAGAGUUCACAUCGACGGAGUGGUUUGGCACCUCGAUGUCGGCUCAUCGCAUCCUGGGGCUGUAGUAGGUCCCAAGGGUUGGGCUGUUCGCCCAUUAAAGCGGUACGCGAGCUGGGUUCAGAACGUCGUGAGACAGUUCGGUCCCUAUCCGGCGUGGGCGUAGGAUAUUUGAGAGGAGCUGUCCUUAGUACGAGAGGACCGGGAUGGACUGACCUCUGGUGUACCGGUUGCACCGCCAGGUGCAUGGCCGGGUAGCCAAGUCGGGAAGGGAUAAACGCUGAAGGCAUCUAAGCGUGAAGCCCCCCUCAAGAUGAGAUAUCCCAUGCGAAAGCAAUAAGACCCCUUGAAGACGACGAGGUAGAUAGGGCAGAGGUGGAAGUGCAGUAAUGUAUGGAGCUGACUGUCGCUAAUAGGUCGAAGGCUUGACC